GACGAACGCUGGCGGCGUGCUUAACACAUGCCAGUCGAACGGAAAGGCCCUGCUUUUGUGGGGUGCUCGAGUGGCGAACGGGUGAGUAACACGUGAGUAACCUGCCCUUGACUUUGGGAUAACUUCAGGAAACUGGGGCUAAUACCGGAUAGGAGCUCCUGCUGCAUGGUGGGGGUUGGAAAGUUUCGGCGGUUGGGGAUGGACUCGCGGCUUAUCAGCUUGUUGGUGGGGUAGUGGCUUACCAAGGCUUUGACGGGUAGCCGGCCUGAGAAGGUGACCGGCCACAUUGGGACUGAGAUACGGCCCAGACUCCUACGGGAGGCAGCAGUGGGGAAUAUUGCACAAUGGGCGGAAGCCUGAUGCAGCAACGCCGCGUGCGGGAUGACGGCCUUCGGGUUGUAAACCGCUUUCGCCUGUGACGAAGCGUGAGUGACGGUAAUGGGUAAAGAAGCACCGGCUAACUACGUG
rnacentral:rRNA from 1 species